rnacentral:lncRNA from 1 species
UUGGAGUGUGCCGCCAUCCUCCCCAAACACAUCUCGACUCUGAAAGUGACCCUAUGAAGGCUAUGACUGCUAAGCAGCAGGCAGAACAGGCAACCAUGGAGAAGAUUGUAUGCUGAGAUGGAAGACCCAAAAGAUUGAAGCAGCCUGGAUAACUCGGGUACCACACAGAGGACAACUGCCCUAGAGAGUUGCCUUGACCCGCAAAAGACAUUGCCUG